UACGUAGGGGGCAAGCGUUGUCCGGAAUCAUUGGGCGUAAAGCGCGUGUAGGCGGCCAGGUAAGUCCGUUCUGAAAGCCCGGGGCUCAACCCCGGGAGGCGGAUGGAUACUGCUUGGCUCGAGUCCGGAAGAGGCGAGUGGAAUUCCCGGUGUAGCGGUGAAAUGCGCAGAUAUCGGGAGGAACACCAAUGGCGAAGGCAGCUCGCUGGGACGGUACUGACGCUCAUGCACGAAAGCGUGGGGAGCAAACAGG
rnacentral:rRNA from 1 species